CUUGAACGCUGGCGGCAGGCCUAACCCAUGCAAGUCGAACGAGUGGCGGACGGGUGAGUAAUGUCUGGGAAACUGCCUGAUGGAGGGGGAUAACUACUGGAAACGGUAGCUAAUACCGCAUACCAUCAGAUGUUCCCAGAUGGGAUUAGCUAGUUGGUGUGGUAACGGCUCACCUAGGCGACGAUCCCUAGCUGGUCUGAGAGGAUGACCAGCAACACUGGAACUGAGACACGGUCCAGACUCCUACGUGAGGAAGCAGUGGGUAAUAGUGCACAAUGGGUGCAAGCCUGAUGCAGCCAUGCCGCGUGUAGGAAGAAGGCCUUCGGGUUGUAAAGUACUUGCAGCGAGGAGGCGUUACUCGCAGAAGAAGCACAGGCUAACUCCGUGCCAGAAGCCGAGGUAAUAC
rnacentral:rRNA from 1 species